rnacentral:rRNA from 1 species
GGCGACGAACGGGAAGAGCCCAGCGCUGAAUCCUAUCGCUCUAGCGGGCGGCCAGGAAAUGUAGCGUUCGGGAGGAGAAUUAAAUUAUCGCGCGGUUACACGGCGGCCAGUCCAAGUUCAUCUUGAAAGGGGCCCUGCUUAUCCGAUAGAGGGUGCCAGGCCCGUAACGACGGCGGCCGGCCGCGACGGUCUCUCUCCCCAGAUUCGGGUUGCUUGAGAGUGCAGCCCUAAGCGGGUGGUAAACUCCAUCUAAUGCUAAAUAUUGCCACGAGACCGAUAGCGAACAAGUACCGUAAGGGAAAGUUGA